GCUAUUUUCAGUCAUUAAAUUCACCCUUUCUUCAUUGGGAAAAAUGAACAUGUAAGCAAUGUAGGAUGCAGAAUUUUUCUUGUUCCUGUCCCUUUUAUAGUACAUGGGUAUGUUGGCUGUUUGUUGCUGGGUUUCAGUAUUUAUUGUUCCCCUUUUCAAAUAAUUGUAUUGUUAUAUGCAUUUAGACAGAUAUCUCUCACUGUCCCUAUGCUACACUUUAAUUGUCAUGCACAUAUUUACAAGCUUUCGCAGCAGAGUUAAACACUAUGUUGUUCUGUCAAUCACUCUCUCACACACACACACGUUUGUUUUUGUGAAUUGUGGGGACAUUCUAUAGGCAUAAUGGUUUUUAUACUUUACAAACUGUAUGUGCUAUUGUCCUACACCAGGGGUGCCCAACCCUGCUCCUGGCGAUCGACUGUCCUGCAAAGUUCAGCUCCAACCCUAAUCAAACACACCUGAAGCAACUAAUUAAGGUCUUCAGGCUCACUUAAAAAGUAAAGGCAGGUGUGUUUGAUUAGGGUUAAAGCUAAACAUUGCAGGACAGUCGAUCGCCAGGAGCAGGGUUGGGCACCCCUGCCCUACACCAACCCUACACCUAACCCUACCCCUUACAGGAAAGUUUGUGCAUUUUUACUUUCUCAAAAAAACUUUUAUAAGCGUUUUGAAAAAUGGGGACAUGGGUUAUGAAUCUGUAAAGGGUCUACUUUUUUUUGUAUACAGACAUAAUAACAACAAAACUUUGUGCACUUAUAAAAUAAAGAUAACAAACAAGGAGUGCUGUCUGCAGCCUUUGUCUGCGCUGAUCUUCAGAUACAAAUGCGUCAUUAAAAUGAACUGUAACUCAGUGAAUACUCAACGAAGAGACAUGAGAGAGAUAUCUAUAGAAAGCCUGACAUGUCUACUUUUAAACUAAACAAGUGCUGCUGAAAACAAAUAUUCUGUGAUAAAGUAAUCCAUAUGAAAACAACGCGAUGUCCGUUUUUCACAUCCCCCUUCAUUAUCUUCUAAUGCGACCACGCCCCCGCGCCGAGCGCGCUUUUGAGAUUCAAAUGUUUCACUGAAGCGCGCGGCUUUUGAAUACGCCCACACAACAGAAGACAACGCAGCGAGAUUGUUCUUCAAGUUUUUUUAUUUUACUGUUUGCUUUAGCGAUGAGAGGAAUAAGACAUAAUUCACCCCAAAAAAAGAUGUGAUGUGGUUGAGGAUUUGAGAUUUGGAUUUCCUCAGAAAAAAGAAUGAAGCACUUUAUUCAGCAGAGUUCAUAAACAUGAGUAAGUCUCUUUUUAUUUAUUUAUAUACUUGUACUAGUUUUCACAUAACGUGUAAACAUUUUACUAGUUAGACUUUUUCCAAAGACUUUUUCCAAACUAUAAUUCCUGACUAAAUGUAUAAUCAAGUGAAAUAUUAUGAAGUUUCAAUAACAAUAUACACCACUAUACCAUUCAAAAGCUUGAUGUAAAUAAUAUAAAUGUAACAAUAAAUGUAACUGUAACAAAUGUAACAAUCAUUGCUGUUCUUUCAAUUUAUCCCCCCUAAAAAACCUAAAAAAAAAUAUUCUCAGCUCUUUUCAACAUUAAUAAUAAUAAUAAUAAUAAUAAUAAUAAUGAUGAUGAUGAUAAUAAUAACAAUAAAUGUUUUUUUGUAGAAAAUAAGAUUGUUAAAAGGAUUUCUGAAGGACUGUGUGACUGGAGUAAUUAUGCAAAAAAUUCAGUUUGAAAGUCAGCUUUGAUUUUUCCUAAUAAACUGUUUAACUGCACUCACAAGUGAAUAUUAAAUUAUGUUGUGGGAUAAUUAAAUGUAUUCUAAAUAAACUACAAACAUAAAAUUAUAUAGAUUUAUUUUGUCCUCACAUUCUUUCUUGUAACUCACCCCUCUCAGUGACACAGCUGACUGAAUGGCUCAUUAUGCAGCUCAUUAUGCAGGUCUUUUGUCUUCUCAGGUGUGAAUUCAUGAUAGUUGACGCCUACUCGCAUAUGACUUUUACCAACAAAAACUGUCUUAGAAAAUUUAAAUCAAUAUAUUGUUUUUCUGUAAGUGAGUAAACAAGAUGAUUUUCACAUCAUUUAGAAUUCUAGGCUACAAGCUCCAGUUCUCAAAAUUCCUGGGAACCAAUUUUUCUGUAUGUGUUUUAUUGCCUUUUUUUCAAGUGAUUUAACAUUUUUUUAGUUUUUCACUAACCACGCAUAACAUUUUUUUUCUCAAAAACACAAUCAUGUACAUUCAUGCUGCUCACAUAUUAUUAUAGCCUAGUUUGUGCUGAUUACAGUGAGAUUAGACUUUAGCCAUUUAGAUAUUUAUAAGAAACUGAAAAAAGCACAAAUGUCAGGGCAUGACAAAACUUCUCCAGGCCCCAAAAAUACCCUUAGACUCCAGAGGGAAAUAUAUGAAAAUAUAUAUUAAUAUAUAUACACUGAAAAUUAUAUAUUAAAUCUUUUAUAUCAUUUAUAUAUUUUUCUGUCUUUGGACUUGUAAAAGAUUAUAUCUAUGAGUAAAUUCCGUAAAGUUGUAAAAUUAAAAAGUUGUCCUAACAUACACCCUCUCAUAAUAAAUAAAUAAACACUUUGAAAUGUACUUGAAAAAGUGCAGACACACUGGCUAAACAUACUACCUUUGACCACAAUUACAUACUGUGUAAACCAGAAGUGAAUAAAGUUAAGAGCAGAUUCACCAUGUUUGGCCCACAUGGGCAGAGAUCAACUAAUGCUUAAUCCAGAAACACAAUGACCUCAAUCCUGUAAAUCUGUCAAUAGAAUAUCCGACGCUCCAGAGGUGACUGUUGUAAUGAUAGCACAGACGGAGCUGUUAUUUAAAACAUCCUACACACGAAUAUGUAUUUCUUUGUGCUAUGCUCAGGAUAGGAUAGGAAUAGGAUAUUCCUGGAAAAUUUCACAGAUUAUUCUAAGAUUCUUAAGUAGAUAGGAACUAGAAGGUGAACAUAAUUGGUGCAUGACUUUCCCCUUUUCUGGAAAGAAAGAGUUCACCUCCAUCAAAGUCUACAGUAUAGCAGUGCUUCUCAA
ensembl:lncRNA